rnacentral:lncRNA from 1 species
UAAAUUUUAAGCUUUUCAAACCUCAAUCUUGCCAAUUGAGUUCUUUUCAUUAGUAUAGUGGUAGCUCUUUAAUUACUAGCCAUAUUUUAGGAGCAUUUCUCAGUUUUUUUGUUUUUUCAUCCGGUAUCCGUUACUCGCAUUGGAGCUCGACUAUAUUCGGAUUUGCGUCGCACAGGGAUCCAUUCGAGGAAAAGCAUUCCGUACCAACGAUUUUUCUAUACCUAAGGCUCUAACCCGAGAUCUCUGGUUAAGGAAAGAGCAAUCUCAUCC